AACAUCCAGUGGAACUCAAUUUUCCUUUCCCUUCAUUCCCUCUUAAUGACCGUUCUUUUUCUUCCCUCAUGAAUCAACAAAUAGAUUCUGUUGGAUCUAGUGCCGGUGGGAUGGUUAUGGGAAUGAGGUAUAUUGUGCUUCCACUGAUCAUUGCCUCGCUUCUACUGUCAAUUCUCAAAAGUGAGAGAAUUUUAGGGAGUCAACCUCUUGUGCGGAGCAAGGGUAUUAAAGGUGCAGUUGUAGUUGGAGGAGAGUUCUUUAUUUCACCCGAGGACCUAAACAAAGCUCUCAGACGCUGGGCCGCAGAGUUACCUCGGGAGAUCUAUGUUGAUAUACUCAACGAGGGGUUGGCUGAGAGACACUUGGGCA
rnacentral:sRNA from 1 species